CUCAGUCAUGAAGUGUUAGUCACAGGGCUAUAAACACUCAUAGAGCACUGAAGCAUGAGACACCAAUGCAAAGUGUGUGUGUGUGUGUGUGUGUGUGUGUGUGUGUGUGCACUGUAGUGUGAUGGAGGUUUUUGUACGAUGGUUUCAUUAGAAUGUAUCACUGUGGUGGACUUUUGGUGGAGGCUCCAAACUCAUUGUGAACACUGGUCCCUCCGUGUCUCUGUUCCCUCCGUCCCCUCUGCAGUCUUCUGAAGGAUCGUCAUCGCUGCUCUGCCUGCUGUCUGGCUACUCUCCACAGGGGGCACUGGUGAGCUGGACAGUGGACGGCUCAGAGGUGAAGAACGGGGUUCUGACCAGCGCUGAAGAAGAGAAGAACGGCCGUUACAGCCGCAGCAGCACCCUGACCCUCAGCAAAGACCUCUGGGAAAAGGGGGAGGAGUUCAGCUGUAAGGUCUCCCAUAACAACGCCAAUCAUCCAGUCACGUUCAGAAAGAGUCACUGUGAAGGCUAGUGGAUCCAAGAUAGAGUUUAACAUAGAGCUGCUUAUCAUCCAUCCUAAAUAGAGUUUCAAUUCUACACAAUGCUGACAUUUCUGUCUUUACUCUGUUCACUGUCCUGUUGCUCUUCCUGUAGUUUUUGCUGAAAUAAAGCUGAGUUUUGGA